rnacentral:rRNA from 1 species
UACGAGAGGUGCAAGCGUUAUUCGGAAUCAUUGGGCGUAAAGGGUGCGUAGACGGUAUGUUAAGUCUGUUGUUAAAUCUUUCGGCUUAACCGAAAAUCUGCAAUGGAAACUGGCAUGCUAGAGUAUGGAAGAGAUAAGUGGAAUUCUUGGAGUAGCGGUAAAAUGCGUAGAUCUCAAGAGGAACACCGAUGGCGAAGGCAGCUUAUUGGUCCAUUACUGACGUUGAGGCACGAAAGCGUGGGGAGCAAACAGG